rfam:Triticum urartu cultivar G1812 contig395354, whole genome shotgun sequence.
AGGGUAAGAGCCACUCGGGCUAGCCAAGGAGACUGCCUGAUGUGCAUAGUAGUGAGAGACCGAUCCACCAGAGAGAAAGAGAUCCCAUUCACAGCCACAGGCAAGUCAUCCUUGGCUACCAGAAGAAGCCAUUACCA